GUGGGGAAUAUUGGACAAUGGGGGAAACCCUGAUCCAGCCAUGCCGCGUGAAUGAUGAAGGCCUUCGGGUUGUAAAGUUCUUUUGGUAGGGACGAUGAUGACGGUACCUACAGAAUAAGCUCCGGCUAACUUCGUGCCAGCAGCCGCGGUAAUACGAAGGGGGCUAGCGUUGUUCGGAAUUACUGGGCGUAAAGGGCGCGUAGGCGGUCCGACAAGUUGGGUGUGAAAGCCCAGGGCUCAACCCUGGAAUGGCACCCAAAACUGUCAGACUUGAAUUCGGUAGAGGAUGGUGGAAUUCCCAGUGUAGAGGUGAAAUUCGUAGAGAUUGGGAAGAACACCCGUGGCGAAGGCGGCCAUCUGGACCGACAUUGACGCUGAGGCGCGAAAGCGUGGGGAGCAAACAGG
rnacentral:rRNA from 1 species